ACCGGCGAUAAAUCGCCGGGCUAUUGUCAUCCGUCCCUACGGGACU
rfam:Desulfobacteraceae bacterium IS3 Ga0073107_11385, whole genome shotgun sequence.